CCCCAGACUCCUACGGGAGGCAGCAGUGGGGAAUAUUGCACAAUGGGGGAAACCCUGAUGCAGCGACGCCGCGUGAGCGAUGAAGUAUUUCGGUAUGUAAAGCUCUAUCAGCAGGGAAGAAGAUGACGGUACCUGACUAAGAAGCCCCGGCUAACUACGUGCCAGCAGCCGCGGUAAUACGUAGGGGGCAAGCGUUAUCCGGAUUUACUGGGUGUAAAGGGAGCGUAGACGGCGAUGCAAGCCAGAUGUGAAAGCCCGGGGCUCAACCCCGGGACUGCAUUUGGAACUGUGUGGCUGGAGUGUCGGAGAGGCAGGCGGAAUUCCUAGUGUAGCGGUGAAAUGCGUAGAUAUUAGGAGGAACACCAGUGGCGAAGGCGGCCUGCUGGACGAUGACUGACGUUGAGGCUCGAAAGCGUGGGGAGCAAACAGGAUUAGAUACCCGUGUAU
rnacentral:rRNA from 1 species